rnacentral:misc_RNA from 1 species
AAAAAAAAAAAAUAAAAAGCAGCCAAAAUUAGACAAAAAAUAUUCCUAUUACUAAUAAACUAAUCAUCUUUUUGGAUGUGAUUCUUGAUGAUGAAGAUUGAUCGGAAUGAGGAGGUUUUCUAUAAUAAAAUGGGAACCAAGGGACAAUUGGUUCUGGUGGUGGUGGUGCUUCACCGUUAGCGUAAUCAUCAGGUGGAGAAUUCAGAUAAGGGAUGUUGUUGUAACCAGAUGGUGGUGGUUGAUAGGUGGUUGAUGGUGGAUUUGGGACAUAGCCACCUGGUGGGGUUGUGGUGGCCGGAGGAGGGUUGUUUCCGGUGGGAGGAGGAUAGCAAGGAUAAGCACAUUCUUGGGGUGUGAUUCUUGCUGGAAAGUUGAGGAGGAG